CUCUCACAGUCAAGCUUUAGAUUACUUAGGAUAUUAGAUGUUUGCUUUACUUCUUCUUUGUUCUGUGGUCAGUCCAUAUCAGAACUUGUUCAUUUGAGGUAUCUUGCUUGUCCGUCCUUCAAUGGUCUUAUGCAAUCACUAUGCAAGAUACGGAAUAUACAGAACUUAGUUAUUCAUGAUUUAUGUCCAUCUGGUUUAAGUAUGCGAACCCAGUUCCUACCAUGGGAAGUUGUGAAUAUGCCUCAACUAAGACAUAUCCAUACAAAAAAGUUUAGUCUUUUCAUACCCCCACCUACAUCACUAAUUGCUAAGAGGGAGAAUCAUUUACAAACGUUAACCGGAUUGAUGCCCUCAUCUUGUAAUGAAGAGGUGUUUCUAAGAAUUCCAAAUUUGAAGAAGUUGGGAAUAUUAAUUGUUGAUGAUUCAGACACUAUUCAGAAGUGUUAUUGUCUUGAUAAUCUUGUACAUUUAUCUCAGCUUGAGAAGCUCAAAGUUCAGUUCAGAGAGAGUUAUAUGCUAAUUUUCAGGUGGAUGAGCGAAGAUUGGAUGGACCUUUCUUCGCUACACAUUCCACAUUGUGACAAUUUCCCACCAAACCUUAAGAAGUUAACAUUGUGCAGAACACACAUACAAUGGGAAGACAUGAACAUUCUUAGAAAAUUACCUAAUCUUGAGGUGCUCAAACUUAAACAUCAUGCCUUUCUCGGACUAAUUUGGAAACUAAGCGAUGAAGAUGAAGAUGGAUUCUUGAAGCUAAAGUUUUUACUUCUUGAGAACAUGAAUCUGAUGCAAUGGGAAGCAACAAGUUAUCAUUUCCCAAACCUUGAGCACUUGGUUCUAACAGAUUGCUAUUUGUUGGAGCAAAUGCCUUUUGACUUUGCAGAGAUUCAGACACUACAGCUGAUUGAACUACACAAAUGUAAGUGUUCUGUUCUUGUUUCAGCAGAGCAAAUACAAGAGGAGCAACAAAGCUUGGGAAAUGAUGACCUCGUUAUUCAUGUGAACUAUAUACGUGAGUAAACAUUAAUCAAAAAAGGUAUACAUUUCUUAAAAGCAUAAAGAUUUUACUUGCUUCUUUUGUUUACAAUAAUGUUUUAUCAUUUUGAAUAUGUUGACUUUUAGUCAAUUUUAUUUUUUCUUUAGUUCAAAACAAUAUAAUAAAAGAGUUUAUGAUGAUUCCUUGAUUGCAUACCAUUUUUAUGUUCGAGCAUGGACAAAUGUAUCUCAAGAAUUUGACACUAGAGAAAUUUUUCUUGGUAUUCUUCGCUCCAUUGGCGUGGUCAACGAUGAAGUAGAAAGAAACAGUACUAAUGAGCAAUUGGCUGAAAGAGUUUAUCGAAGUUUAAAAGGGAGGAAGUAUCUCAUUAUCCUAGAUGAUAUGUGGUCCAUCGAGGCUUGGAAGCAUGUGAGGAGACUAUUUCCGGAUGAUCAUAAUGGAAGUCGAAUCGUGUUAACCACGAGGCUUGUAGAUGUUGCAUCUUGUGCUUGCUCUGGCAAUUCCCUUCACCAGAUGCGCUUUCUGAGUGUGGCGGAAAGCUGGACUGUAACAUCCGGCAAUUUGAAAUAACUAUGAAGAAGCUUGGAAUUGGAAAUAGUCAUUUUUGGAAAGACUUUUAAAAAAAUCUGGAAAAUUUGGUUGUUAAGUAUGGGUAAAAGGUGAGUUUUUGGCCAACUUUGAACAGUCAUAACGUCUAGCUCAAGAUGAGUUAGGUGUAGUUCCAGUUAUGUUUACAAAGCUCGUGGAAUGAUCUUUCCAACGCCAUCGAGUUUUCUCGAUUCUGAGUUCGUAUGAGUGAGUUAUGCCCUUUGGAAAUUGGGCAGUUGGCAGGGAAGUCCGUCCGGAAAUUUUAAGGGUAUUUUGGUCUUUUCCCUAACCAAUUCUUUUGGAUAUAUUAAGGUGUUAGACUGAUUUUAGAUCAGUUUUUCCCUUUUUGAAAGAGUGAGAGUGAGGGUUUGUGAGUAAAGAGGAAAAGAAGGGGAGAAAGAGAAGAUCAAGCAAGGUUUCGUCAAAGAUCGUCGUGGAUAUUGUCGGGGGUGAUCCCUACUAGGUAUGUGAGAUCAUAGUGUUUGGUUGGUUCAUUCCCCCACACGCCAAAUUCGUUUUAAUAUCCGAGAAAAGAUUUGGUUGUGUUUAUUGAAGUCUUGUGGUUGUGGUUGGUGAGGUUGUGGUUGUGUUAUUGAAGUUCUUGUGGAUUUGAGACAUGUUUUAGGUUGUGUUUUCGAGUUGAAUCUAUUGUGUAUUAAGGGGUUUUAAUGAUCCCAAGUGUUUGGGGAAGGAACCUUUGAAGUUAAGAGGGUUUAGAGUUGGUAACAUGAAGGAGAAAAGUCGGGCAGCUUGCAUGAAACAAGUCUGCGUCGCAGACUUGUUCCCUCUGUGAACAAAUCUGCUCCGCGUCGCGGACAGGACGCGGACUUCACUGUUUCAAAAAUUUAAUUUCGUAAUUUUUCUUAAGUUUAGCUGUCCUAAAUCAUUCCUAAACAUCAUGAGGUCUUUCCAAACACAAAUCAUGAAUCCUUGAAUCCAUAAUUCAAUUCAAGAAAGUUAGGAUCAAAGUCAAGUGAAGUUAAGAGUCAAGUCUAAAAGUUAAGAAGCAAGUCUUUAAAGCUUUUCAAGAGUCUUUAUUAAACGUUUUAACUUCGUUUUAAGGCUCAAGUUUCAAGUUAAGUAAAGUGUAUAGAGUUUCAAGUUAAGUAAAGAGUAUAGAGUGUCAAGUCAAGUAAAGAGUAAGAACAAUGUAGCCAAACAUGGGACUUAACGGGUUAUUCUUUUUAGAUGAUCACGUAAGAUUAAGCUAGUGGAUUCACUAAGUAAAGUAAGGUCCUAUAUCACGGAAAAGUAUAGGAUGGUCCUUGGGCAACGUGAGGUAAAACGUUGUAUCAUCACUAGGGCUCAUAGUGGUGGUUGUCGGUUAAAGAAUCUCCCACAAAAGUUAUAUUAACUUUUAUAUAAGUAAAGUUGAGUUGUUAUUGCUUUAUCCUUAACGAACUAAGUUGUUUACACUGUUUUGCAAGCUUUAUAUAUAUUGCGUGUGUCUUAUUGCUUUAUAUUGAGUUCGGUUAUUCAUGAGUUGAAUAGAGCCAAGGUAAGUGUUCUCUUGUACUCCUUUCAAGCUUAAGUUGUUGUUUAGCUUUCCAGCUCGCAUACUCGUACAUUAAAUGUACUGAUGCCAGUUGACAUGUAUCUUAUUAUGAUGCAGACACAGGUACCCAGGAUCAGCAUUCGGCACACCGUUGAUCCAGCCGAGCACUUCCGAGUCAGUGGUGAGCCUCUUUGCAUUCCGGAGUACUCAGUUAUUUUGUUCUCUUAGUUUGUUUUAUUAGGAUGUUCCGGGGUCUGUCCCAACAUCCAUCUCAGUGUUAUAGAGGCUUCAUAGACAGUCAGUCAGUUAGUAUUGAGUCUCUCAUCUAUGUAUAUAUGUAAAUAUUCUAUUUUGAGACUCGAGUUGCCUUUUUGGGCCAGAUUUUAUCAGUUAAGUUGUUUUAUGUCCUUGCAUUGCAUGGAGUUAUUCUGUUGAGUUAGGUUUCCGCUGAGUUAAGAAAGUCAGGCCAAAGGUUCGCUUGGGGCCAACAAUGGUCUUCGAGUGCCAGCCAUGUCCAGGGUAUAGGCUCGGGGCAUGGCAAUCUUUUACGCGAUAAGGUCUUUGGGAACGGUAGGUACCCUCCGGAAUUGGAGAAAAUUGGGAGGUACAUUGGCCACCAGUGUCAAGGGUUGCCACUUGCAAUUGUUGCAAUUGGUGGACUACUUUCCAAGAUGAGCAAGGAAACAAGUUCUUGGGAGAACGUUGCAGAAAAGGUAGGAUCACUUAUGACCAGUGACACUAUGGAUUGCUUGAACAUACUUUCUUUGAGCUACAACCACUUGCCUCAGUACUUGAAAACAAACAUGCUUCCUUUAUAUGGGAGUUUUUGCAGAAACUCAUGAGAUUCCGGUCUGGAAGUUAAUAAAGUUAUGGAUUGCUGAGGGAUUCGUCAAGAAAGUUUAUCAUAAAAAUCUUGAAGAUGUGGCAGAGGAAAAUUUGAGGGAGUUAGUUGAUAGAAGUUUGGUUUUGGUGGGGAAGCAUAGCUCCCUAGGUUUUAUCAAGACUUGUAAAAUGCAUGAUCUCGUUCGAGAUAUGUGUUUGAGAGAAGCCCAAUAUGAGAAUUUUAUUCACUUCAAAACAAGGUAUGACAACGAUGAUCUUCUAGAAAACUUUAAUUGUCUACGUCGUGUAGUUGAUUUCAAUAAAUAUGGAUACAGUGAAAUUCCUAAACUUAUGCCACUCACACGUUCUGUUUUCUUCAAAUAUCCACACUUUUUUUGUUUCCUCUCACAGUCAAGCUUUAGAUUACUUAGGAUAUUAGAUGUUUGCUUUACAUCUUUUUUGUACUGUAGUCAAUCCAUAUCAGAACUUGUUCAUUUGAAGUAUCUUGCUUGUCCGUCCUUUGAUGGUCUUGUGCAAUCAGUAUGUAAGCUACGGAAUAUACAGAACUUAGUUAUUCAUGAUUUAAAUUUAUCUGGUUUACAUAUGAGAACCCAGUCCCUACCAUGGGAAGUUGUGAAUAUGCCUCAACUAAGACAUAUCCAUACAAAAAAGUUCAGUCUUUUCAUACCCCCACCUACAUCACUAAUUGCUGAGAGGGAGAAUCACUUGCAAACGUUAACCGGAUUGGAGCCCUCAUCUUGUAACGAUGAGGUGUUUCUAAGAAUUCCAAAUUUGAAGAAGUUGGGAAUAUUAAUUGUUGAUUCAGACACUAUUAGGAAGUGUUAUUGUCUUGAUAAUCUUGUACAUUUAACUCAGCUUGAGAAGCUCAAAGUUGAGUUCAGCGAGAGUUAUCUGCUAAUUUUUAGGCGGAUUAGCGAAGGUUGGGUGGACCUUUCUUGGCUACACAUUCCACAUUGUGACAAUUUCCCACCAAACCUUAAGAAGUUAACAUUGUGCGGAACUUACCUACAAUGGGAAGACAUGAACAUUCUCAAAAAAUUACCUAAUCUUGAGGUGCUCAAACUUAAACAUCAUGCCUUUCACGGACUAAUUUGGAAACUAAGCGAUGAAGAUGAAGAUGGAUUCUUUCAGUUAAAGUUUUUACUUCUUGAGAGCUUGCAUCUGAAGCAAUGGGAAGCAACAAGUUAUCAUUUUCCAAGCCUUGAGCACUUAGUCCUAACAGAUUGCUAUUCAUUGGAGCAAAUUCCUUUCGACUUUGCAGAGAUUCAAACACUACAGCUGAUUGAACUACACAAAUGCAUGCUUUCUGUUCUUGAUUUAGCAGAGCAAAUACAAGAGGAGCAACAAAGUUUGGGAAAUGAUGACCUUGUUAUUCGUGUGAACUAUAUACGUGAGUAACAUUAAUAAAAAAGGUAUACAUUUUUUAAAAGCAUAAAGAUUUUUUUUCCUGAAUUUUUCUUACAUAGCUCUUAUCUUGGAUAACUUUUUCUAUCUUAUAAAAGUUAGUGUGCAGUACAAAAUAUUAAUUUGAUUAGCUAGAUUCUUUCGAAAUCUGAAAUUGAUUCUUAUAUUCAUCAUUUUUAUUUAUUUAUACUAUAAAAGGUGCUAAUUACAAUAGGUUUUGUGCAUUGCAGACAAAAAACUUAGUUGAUGGAGAGUGCCAUAAGAUAUACUCAAGCAUAAAUAAGUUGAUCACUCUUUGCAGUAGUUGAUCUUACCUUUCAGUGUAUUUCGAUUUCCUUUUUCCAGUUCAACUUGUUUGGGACUGAGGCUUAGUUUAGUGAAUUGUAUAUCUAGAUAUAAUUCAAAUAUAAUGCAUUUACUUUGGAAUGUGUAUGUAUUUGAACGUACUUCUCUUAGUUGCUUGUACCACCAUGUUGAAUCAAUAUAUUUAUUUGCAGGCAUUGUCCAAAAACAGGCACCUUGUUAUUAUAGUUAAAGUUAGCAAGCAUUUUCCUUCCAAGGAUCAAGUUCAAUUAUUCUGAGCAUGUUCAAUGGAUAACAGGGAUGGAAUAGAGGUUGAAUGGUAGGAGACAGUAUGCUUAGAGAGAAAGAAGGGUGUGAACUUUUUGUACGUCAUUUGCCUACUUUUUUUGAAACAUUCCCAGUCGUUUUGGUAGAUGAUGAUUGAAUUGUUAGACCCGAUGUUCCUUUUAUUAGGUGAGAAUCAGAGUUUAGUGUUGAACACGUAGGUGUAAUCAUUGAGUUCUACUGCUGUGAAGUGGGUGAAAUUUUCGAAUUAUAUCGUGCUACUUUGAAAACCUAUGGUGUUUCUUCAUAGCAGUCAAAAGGGUUGAUUUACUUUUGGCCUUUGGGCAUGCUUCGUUUGCUUUGCUCUUCUUCUUCAGACACAUUUGGCAUGACACUAGAACCUUGUUUGUGUUUUUUCUUAGGGUUGAUUUAUCAGAUAAUCACUCCAUUAAUAGUUAUUAUCUCAAAAAGUCACAAUUCUUCUUUUUUCCAAAUUUUUUUCUACAAAGAAAGUGACUUUCUGAGAUAAUAACUAUUAAUCGAGUGACCAUAUGAGAAAUCAACUCGUUUUUCUUUUAAGAAAUAUUCUUGUUGGUUCACUCAAUGAUGCCUUUUUAUCUUUUAUCAUCUUGCUAAUGGGACAUUGGACAAGUCUUUAAUUUAGACAAUCUUGUAGUUAGUUGCUAUGAAGUUUCAAAUUCCAUAGCAGAAACUCCAGUAUAUUGUCAUGGAGUAAAACUUGUAAAAACAACAACAUACCUAGUGUAGUAUCAUAAGUGAAGUCUAGGGAGGAUAAGAUGUACACAGACCAUAUCCCUACCUUUGUAGUGUAGAGACGGAGUUUGUUUCCGAUAGGCCCUCGACUCAACAAUAAAGAAAAGAACUUGAAGCAUGGUAGCAAGAAAAUAUGACAGAAAAAAAAGUAAGAUACAGAUCAAAUGAAGCAACAAAUAGUAAUACACAUCGAAGAAAAAGAAACAAAGUGCAACAAUACUUGGCUACCUACUAACCUUCUAAUCUAAUCCUCAACUUUCACUCCUUCCUAUCUAGGGUCAUAUCCGAAAUAAAACUUGUAGAUUUUGAAAUUACAUGACUAUAGUUAUUUUUCGAAGAUAUGUCCGAAAAGCGGCUCUCUAGUAUGAAUGUAGUUUGGGCAAGUUGUAUGACUUUGGGUGUCUGACAAACUAUUCCAACUUGCUUUUUGGUACAAGUCUUAAAUACAAUUUGAGUCUCAAUCUGACAAAUAAUUCAAUGAGCAAAACAAGAAUUCUCACUUCUACCUUCCACCAACCCCACCAUUACUCUCUUGGAGAGAAACAGACACAAAGAGAAGACUUCUCUUUACAAAGCCUUAAAAGUCUUGCAUUCCCAUCCAUUACAUUGCCUUCUUCUUUCAUAAAGAAUUGGUUUUGAGAAUCUAAAUCAACAACUCAGAACUUCCUCCUACUGUCCUGUUUAGCAAGAAACUAACAAACAGCGAUAUGGCGGCGUAUGCUGCUGUGAAUUCACUUUUGCAUACGCUGGAUAAUCUAUCUCAAACUCAUACAUCACAUUCUCUUCUUUACAAAAAAAAGCAAACUGAAGUCCUCAGUGACAAGUACACCUUCCUUAAAACCUUUCUUGAGGAUUUUACUAAUAUUUUCCAUGAAGAUGUAAAGAUGAAGCAUCUCGAAAGGAUAAUCCAAGAAGCUGCUAAUGGAGUGGAAGAUACUAUUGACUCACAUGUAUAUGAUAGCUCUGCCUUAGUACAAAGCAAGCGAGUACGAAGAAAGGCUUAUACGAUCUUUCAUCAAAACUUGGAAUAUGCAAUUGAGGAAAUUGGUUUGAUACAAAAAGAGGUUAUGAAAAAGAUAAAGGUCAACAAGUUCAACAGCAAAAUCUCUCAUUCAAGAGAUACUUCAUCUCAGAUCCCUAUGGAUCAAAAAGAUGUAAUCAUUGGACUGGAUGAAGACUUGCUAAAGAUAAAAGAUCGACUCAUCGUGCAAUCAUCAAGACUCGAAGUUGUCCCCAUUAUAGGGAUGGGUGGUAUUGGCAAGACCACACUGGCUAGAAGAGUUUAUGAUGAUUCCUUGAUUGCAUACCAUUUUUAUGUNNNNNNNNNNNNNNNNNNNNNNNNNNNNNNNNNNNNNNNNNNNNNNNNNNNNNNNNNNNNNNNNNNNNNNNNNNNNNNNNNNNNNNNNNNNNNNNNNNNNNNNNNNNNNNNNNNNNNNNNNNNNNNNNNNNNNNNNNNNNNNNNNNNNNNNNNNNNNNNNNNNNNNNNNNNNAAAGAAACAGUACUACUGAGCAAUUGGCUGAAAGAGUUUAUCGAAAUUUAAAAGGGAGGAAGUAUCUUAUUGUCCUAGAUGAUAUGUGGUCUAUCAAGGCUUGGCAGCAUGUGAGGAGAUCAUUUCCAGAUGAUCGUAAUGGAAGUCGAAUCGUGUUGACCACAAGGCUUGUAGAUGUUGCAUCUUGUGUUUGCUCUGGCAAUUCCCUUCACCAGAUGCGUUUUCUGAGCAUGGAGGAAAGCUGGGAUCUUUUAAGCGGUAAGGUCUUUGGGAAUGGUAGUUACCCUCCGGACAAAAUCUCACAUUCAAGAGAUACUUCCUCACUGCUCCCUUUGUAUCAAAAAGAUAUAAUCGUUGGACUGGAUGAAGACUUGCUGAAGAUAAAAGAACGACUCACCGUGCAAUCGUCAAGACUCGAAGUUGUCCCCAUUAUAGGGAUGGGUGGUAUUGGCAAGACCACACUGGCUAGAAGAGUUUAUGAUGAUUCCUUGAUUGCAUACCAUUUUUAUGUCCGAGCAUGGGCAAAUGUAUCUCAAGAAUUUGACACUAGAGAAAUUUUUCUUGGUAUUCUUCGCUCCAUUGGCAUGGUCAACGAUGAAGAAGAAAGAAACAGUACUACUGAGCAAUUGGCUGAAAGAGNNNNNNNNNNNNNNGUCAACGAUGAAGUAGAAAGAAACAGUACUAAUGAGCAAUUGGCUGAAAGAGUUUAUCGAAGUUUAAAAGGGAUGAAGUAUCUUAUUGUCCUAGAUGAUAUGUGGUCCAUCAAGGCUUGGCAGCAUGUGAGGAGAUCAUUUCCAGAUGAUCGUAAUGGAAGUCGAAUCGUGUUGACCACAAGGCUUGUAGAUGUUGCAUCUUGUGUUUGCUCUGGCAAUUCCCUUCACCAGAUGCGUUUUCUGAGCAUGGAGGAAAGCUGGGAUCUUUUAAGCGGUAAGGUCUUUGGGAAUGGUAGUUACCCUCCGGAAUUGGAGAAAAUUGGGAGGUACAUUGGCCAUCAGUGUCAAGGGUUGCCACUUGCAGUUGUUGCAAUUGGUGGACUACUUUCCAAGAUGAGCAAGGAAACAAGUUCUUGGGAGAAUGUUGCAGAAAAGGUAGGAUCACUUAUGACAAGUGACACUAUGGAUUGCUUGAACAUACUUUCUUUGAGCUACAACCACUUGCCUCAGUACUUGAAAACAUGCUUCCUUUAUAUGGGAGUUUUUGCAGAAACUCGUGAGAUCCCGGUCUGGAAGUUAAUAAAGUUAUGGAUUGCUGAGGGCUUCGUCAAGAAAGUUAAUCAUAAAAAUCUAGAAGAUGUGGCAGAGGAAAAUUUGAGGGAGUUGGUUGAUAGAAGUUUGGUUUGGUGGGAAGCAUACUUCACUAGGAAAAAUCAAGACUUGUAAGAUGCAUGAUCUCGUUCGAGAUAUGUGUUUGAGAGAAGCCCAAUAUGAGAAUUUUAUACACUUCGAAACAAGGUAUAACCAUGAUGAUCUUCUAGAAAACAUUAAUUGUCUACGCCGUGUAGUUGAUUUCAAUAAGUAUAGAUACAGUUUUGAUAUUCCUAAACUUAUGCCACUCACACGUUCUCUUUUCUUGAAAUAUCCAUACUCUGUUUGUUCCCUCUCACAGUCAAGCUUUAGAUUACUUAGGAUAUUAGAUGUUUGCUUUACAUCUCGUUUGUACCGUAGUAUGUCCAUAACAGAACUUGUUCAUUUGAGGUAUCUUGCUUGUCCAUCCUUCAAUGGUCUUGUGCAAUCACUAUGCAAGCUACGGAAUAUACAGAACUUAGUUAUUCAGGAUUUACGUUCAUCUGGUUUACGUAGGAGAACCCAGUUCCUACCAUGGGAAGUUGUGAAUAUGCCUAAACUAAGACAUAUCCAUACAAAAAAGUUUAGUCUUUUCAUACCCCCUACAUCACUAAUUGCUGAGAGGGAGAAUCAUUUACAAACGUUAACCGGAUUGAUGCCCUCAUCUUGUAAUGAAGAGGUGUUUCUAAGAAUUCCAAAUUUGAAGAAGUUGGGAAUUUUAAUUGUUGAUGAUUCAGACACUAUUCAGAAGUGUUAUUGCCUUGAUAAUCUUGUACAUUUAACUCAGCUUGAGAAGCUCAAAGUUGAGGUCAGAGAGAGUUGGCUAAUUUUUAGGCCGACUAUCAAAGGUUGGGUGGACAUUCCACAUUGUGACAAUUUCCCACCAAACCUUAAGAAGUUAACAUUGUGCACAACACACCUAGAAUGGGAAGACAUGAACAUUCUUAGUAAGUUACCUAACCUUGAGGUGCUCAAACUUAAAGAUCAUGCCUUUCGCGGACAUAUUUGGAAACUAAGCGAU
rnacentral:lncRNA from 1 species